rnacentral:rRNA from 1 species
AUUGAACGCUGGCGGCAGGCCUAACACAUGCAAGUCGAACGAGUGGCGGACGGGUGAGUAAUGUCUGGGAAACUGCCUGAUGGAGGGGGAUAACUACUGGAAACGGUAGCUAAUACCGCAUAACAUCAGAUGUGCCCAGAUGGGAUUAGCUAGUUGGUGGGGUAACGGCUCACCAAGGCGACGAUCCCUAGCUGGUCGGAGAGGAUGACAGGCCACACUGGAACUGGGCCACGGUCCAGACUCCGACGGAGGGCAGCAGUGGGGAAUAUUGCACAAGGGGCGCAAGCCUGAUGCAGACAUGCCGGGUGUAUGAAGAAGGCCUUCGGGUUGUAAAGUACUUUCAGCGGGGAGGCGUUACCCGCAGAAGAAGCACCGGCUAACUCCGUGCCAGCAGCCGCGUAAUUC